GAUAUUCUGUAAGAAUCAUCAGUCAAAUAUAUCUGAAAGUUGAGAAGCUGAAACAAAGAGAUAAAAAGCUUAUUUUGGAUUUUAGGAAGAGGAUUGAAAAGGUAUCUAGCAAUAACAAUAAGCAGGCUGAUGGAAGCGGAAGACGACAUGAAGCCCAACCAGUCAAAGGGAAAACUACAGGAGACAGAGGUGCUAAUGGACCAGAAAUCUGAAAUGGUACUAGACUUAGAGGAAAAGGUGCACCGCAGCAAGAGAGACAGACGUAACUCCCUACAUCGUACACAGCUUCUUGAGAGCCAGAUGAAGACAGUGCGUGGAGAGCUCGCAGAUACGCUCGACCAUCUACAGUUUCUGCGCAAUGUACUACGCCGCACACAGCAAAAUGCAGAGGCCCGUAAAGCUGCCAUGGAUAAACUAGCGGCUGAGCUCAGGUGAAAUUCUACAGUUAUGCUUUUUGACUUCUUGUGUCUGUCUCAUGAAGUCCCUCCAGGCCCUAGAUAAGAAAAAAAAAAGUUGGCAAACUUAAUCAUAUGCUGGCUCACAGACAUAACACUAACCAAAAUACACAUGUUUUAUGUUACAAAAAAUCUCCUGUAAACAGGGAGGUUGCAGUAUGUGUGUUAUGCUCAUGGAGUGUGACUUUCUUUUGAAGUCUCAAUUGAUUUUUUAAUCUAAUAAAGUCAAUUCUACUUUCCCUGUCUGUUGUAGAGGAAAAACAUUUCGGAUUUAAUUAUGUGAUUCACAGCAGUUUAUGUAUAUUUGUGUAUAAAUUUGUACGUGCAUCUUUCCCUGCUGUUUUUGGAACUUUCCAGAUGAUUUCAGGAUCAUGCUGUAAACCAGUGAGAAAGACACUGCACAGAAUAAAAUUGUGUAAAUGUUUAUAGUACUGAUAUUAAAACAAGUAUGAUAAAACUGGUUUAUUAUAAGAUUAAUCAAUAUAGUUACAAUAAGACCAGAUUAUUAUUGGUAUAAUUUUACAGAGUUAUUAUUGUUAUUGUGCAUAUCUUCUACUAGAUCUCUGCUUUUCCCCAUUACUGUUACCACACUGUGGAUAAAAAUUCACUCCAGAGGUUCUGAAUAAAUACACACAGUUCCACAUUCACAAAUCUAUAGAACUGGUAUUGCAUGAGGGUGUGUUUCCCACAGUCCAAUUUGUGUAAAAAUGACAGAACAUUGUAUGUUUAUUACUACUAAGUAUUACUGUACGUUACUAUCCACACUCUUCAAUCAUUGAAUCUGCCAAAUGCAACUUUUUAUUUGUUCUUCAAAUUGACCAACUUUUCAACAUAAAAGGCAAAAAGGCAAAACACGAUGGUGGUAUAUUUUUUGAUAACCCACAGAUCAAUGUUUAAUGUAGCAAGACAAAUUUCACAAAUGAAUAACAGAAACCCAUAACACUGAAAGUUAUUUUAAAAUAUGUCUGAGAAGGGAUCAUACUGAAUGUACAACCAUAGAAUCAUAGAAUGCUAAUUCUCCUUGUAUGCUCUGAAAGAAAAAAGAUAUGAUACAGUUCAGUUUCUUCAA